rnacentral:tRNA from 1 species
GCGCCCCUAGCUCAGCGGAAGAGCAGCGAGCUUUACCUCGAAGGUCGGCAGUUCGAAUCUGCCGGGGCGCU